GGACAUGUGCCUGAAUAAAGGAUCACUUUGAUAGAGUGAAUUAAAAAGGUUUAAACCCUUUCAUCUCCU
rnacentral:tRNA from 1 species